rnacentral:misc_RNA from 1 species
AAGACUAUAGACCUGCGGAGUACCUGCGGAAGGAUCAUUACCGAGUUUACAACUCCCAAACCCAAUGUGAACGUUACCAAACUGUUGCCUCGGCGGGAUCUCUGCCCCGGGUGCGUCGCAGCCCCGGACCAAGGCGCCCGCCGGAGGACCAACCAAAACUCUUUUGUAUACCCCCUCGCGGGUUUUUUAUAUCUGAGCCAUCUCGGCGCCUCUCGUAGGCGUUUCGAAAAUGUAUCAAAA